rnacentral:rRNA from 1 species
UCGGGAAUUUUGGGCAAUGGGCGAAAGCCUGACCCAGCAACGCCGCGUGUGGGAUGAAGGCCCUCGGGUCGUAAACCACUGUCAGGAGGAAAGAAAAGUCGGCCGGAUAAUACUCGGUCGACCUGACGGUACCUCCAAAGGAAGCACCGGCUAACUCCGUGCCAGCAGCCGCGGUAAUACGGAGGGUGCAAGCGUUGUUCGGAAUUACUGGGCGUAAAGCGCGUGUAGGUGGUCGAGUAAGUCGAAUGUGAAAGCCCCGGGCUCAACCCGGGAAGUGCAUCCGAAACUGCUCGACUAGAGUCCCGGAGAGGAAGGCAGAAUUCCCAAUGUAGGGGUGAAAUCCGUAGAUAUUGGGAGGAAUACCGGUGGCGAAGGCGGCCUUCUGGACGGUGACUGACGCUGAGACGCGAAAGCGUGGGGAGCAAACAGGAUUAGAUACCCAAGUAGUCCCUGAGCGGGCUGGCAAGGCGCAU